UACGAAGGGGGCUAGCGUUGCUCGGAAUCACUGGGCGUAAAGCGCACGUAGGCGGAUUGCUAAGUCAGGGGUGAAAUCCCGGAGCUCAACUCCGGAACUGCCUUUGAUACUGGCGAUCUUGAGUCCGGGAGAGGUGAGUGGAACUGCGAGUGUAGAGGUGAAAUUCGUAGAUAUUCGCAAGAACACCAGUGGCGAAGGCGACUCACUGGCCCGUUACUGACGCUCAUGCACGAAAGCGUGGGGAGCAAACAGG
rnacentral:rRNA from 1 species